rnacentral:tRNA from 1 species
GCGGCUGGGGCUCAGUGGUAGAGCACUCGCCUAGCAUGUGCGUGGUGGCGCUGGGUUCAAUCCUCAGCACCACA